GAUAAACGCUGGCGGCGCACAUAAGACAUGCAAGUCGAACGGACUUAACUCAUUCUUUUAGAUUGAGAGCGGUUAGUGGCGGACUGGUGAGUAACGCGUGAGCAACCUUUCUCUCAGUGGGGAAUAACACAGGGAAACUUGUACUAAUACCGCAUAAUGUAUUUUAGGGGCAUCCCUUUAAUACCAAAGCUUUAUGUGCUGAAAGAUGGUCUCGCGUCUGAUUAGCUUGUUGGCGGGGUAACGGCCCACCAAGGCGACGAUCAGUAGCCGGUCUGAGAGGAUGAACGGCCACAUUGGGACUGAGAUACGGCCCAGACUCCUACGGGAGGCAGCAGUGGGGAAUAUUGGGCAAUGGGGGAAACCCUGACCCAGCAACGCCGCGUGAAGGAAGAAGGCUUUCGGGUUGUAAACUUCUUUUAGCAGGGACGAAGGACGUGACGGUACCUGCAGAAAAAGCAACGGCUAACUACGUG
rnacentral:rRNA from 1 species